CAGCCGCCGCGGUAAUACCGGCGGCCCGAGUGGCGGCCACUAUUAUUGGGCUUAAAGCGUCCGUAGCCGGGUUGGUUAGUCUCCCGGGAAAUCUGGCCGCUUAACGGUCAGAAUUCCGGGAGAUACUGCCAGCCUAGGGACCGGGAGAGGCCGAGGGUAUUCCCGGAGUAGGGGCGAAAUCCGUUAAUCCCGGGAGGACCACCCGUGGCGAAGGCGCUCGGCUGGAACGCGCCCGACGGUGAGGGGCGAAAGCCGGGGGAGCGAACCGGAUUAGAUACCCGGGUAGUCCCGGCUGUAAACGAUGCGGGCUAGCUGUUGGGUGGGCUUAGAGCCCACCCAGUGGCGCAGGGAAGCCGUUAAGCCCGCCGCCUGGGGAGUACGGCCGCAAGGCUGAAACUUAAAGGAAUUGGCGGG
rnacentral:rRNA from 1 species